rnacentral:rRNA from 1 species
CGGCCGGGCACUCUAGAGAGACUGCCAGGGAUAACCUGGAGGAAGGCGGGGAUGACGUCAAAUCAUCAUGCCCCUUAUGACUUGGGCUACACACGUGCUACAAUGGCGUAAACAAAGGGAAGCAAAGCUGUGAAGCCGAGCAAAUCUCAAAAAUAACGUCUCAGUUCGGACUGUAGUCUGCAACCCGACUACACGAAGCUGGAAUCGCUAGUAAUCGCAGAUCAGAAUGCUGCGGUGAAUACGUUCCCGGGUCUUGUACACACCGCCCGUCACACCAUGGGAGUUGGGAAUGCCCGAAGCCAGUGACCUAACCGAAAGGAAGGAGCUGUCGAAGGCAGGCUCGAUAACUGGGGUGAAGUCGUAACAAGGUAGCCGUAUCGGAAGGUGCGGCUGGAUCACCUCCUUU